rnacentral:rRNA from 1 species
GAUGAACGCUGGCGGCGUGCCUAAUACAUGCAAGUCGAGCGAACAGACGAGGAGCUUGCUCCUCUGACGUUAGCGGCGGACGGGUGAGUAACACGUGGAUAACCUACCUAUAAGACUGGGAUAACUUCGGGAAACCGGAGCUAAUACCGGAUAACAUGUUGAACCGCAUGGUUCAACAGUGAAAGACGGUCUUGCUGUCACUUAUAGAUGGAUCCGCGCCGCAUUAGCUAGUUGGUAAGGUAACGGCUUACCAAGGCAACGAUGCGUAGCCGACCUGAGAGGGUGAUCGGCCACCCUGGAACUGGGACACGGUCCAGACUCCUACGGGAGGCAGCAGUCGGGAAUCUUCCGCAAUGGGCGAAAGCCUUACGGAGCAACGCCGCGUGAGUGAAGAAGGUCUUCGGAUCGUAAAACUCUGUUAUUAGGGAAGAACAAAUGUGUAAGUAACUAUGCACGUCUUGACGGUACCUAAUCAGAAAGCCACGGCUAACUACGUG